GAGGUGAGCAUUAUAUUCAGAGGUUUACAGUAUACAGUUCAAAAAAGCUUGUAUUUUCUUGUCACAGACACACAUUUCUGGGUGCAUAUAGAACAGCUUAUACAUCAGGUUCUCAUGUCGAUCCAAUGGUAAUUUGAUAUCGCUGCCAUCACCAUAAUAUAGUGUAGCACAGAAUGGCCUUGUAUCAUACUUUGACAUCAUGAUGCAGAAAUGCCUUGGUCAUUCAUGUGGAGAUAUGACUAUCACGAUAGAAUUAGUUACGCCAAGUAACACGUCGUACACGUCAGGUAGCAGCUGAAAUAUUUUAAUAUUUGCCAUAAUAAGCCCAUAACCUGUUGGCAAAACAACCAAAACAUCUUCACCAUUUUACAUUUAAUAUGGCCGAGAUACAUUUGAAUGUCUCGUCUUUUAACGAAUAUUCAAGCCCUCUUUUCGCUAGAACAACUUUCAUAGCUCUUUCAGUAUUUGCCAUUGAAUAUAAUUUAAUAGUAUUACGAUUUAAAGCACCUUUAAACGUAUAAAAACCCAUUUUGUAUACUAUAUUCUGGUGAGAAUCUUUGUUUAAAAC